rnacentral:lncRNA from 1 species
GUAUUGUUGGAGUCAGUGGGAUGUUGAUAUCAGGUAGUGUAGGAGACAGUGGGAUGUUGAUGUUGAUAUCAGGUAGUGUAGGAGUCAGUGGGAUACCAUGUUGAUAUCAGGUAGUGUAGGAGUCAGUGGGAUGUUGAUAUCAGGUAGUGUAGGAGUCAGUGGGAUGUUGAUAUCAGGUGAUAUAGGAGUCAGUGGGAUGUUGAUAUCAGGUAGUGUAGGAGUCAGUGGGAUGUUGAUAUCAGGUAGUGUAGGAGGCAGUGAGAUGUUGAUGUCAGGUAGUGUAGGAGUCAGUGAGAUGUUGAUAUCAGGUAGUGUAGGAGUCAGUGGGAUGUUGAUGUUGAUAUCAGGUAGUGCAGGAGUCAGUGGGAUGUUGAUGUUGAUAUCAGGUAGUGUUGGAGUCAGUGAGAUGUUGAUAUCA